UUGCACAGAGGAUGCACAGAGGAUGCAAAGAGGAUGCACAGAGGAUGCACAGAGGAUGCACAGAGGAUGUACAGAGGAUGCACAGAGGAUGCAAAGAGGAUGCACAGUGGAUACAUGUGGAUGCAUGAGGGAUGCACAGUGGGUGCACGACAGUUGCACAAUGGUUGCACAGAGAAUGCAUGGAGGAUCCACAGAGGAUUCAUGGCAGAUACACAGAGGAUGCACGGAGGAUGCACAGAGGAUGUGUGGUGGACGCACAGAGGAUGCAAAGCAGUUGCAGGGUGGGUGUGCAGCAGAUGCAGAGCAGAAGCACAGCAGAAGCACAGCGGGUGCAGGACAGAUGCAGGGCAGAUGCACAGUGGGUGCACGCUGGAUGCGUGGCAGAUCCUGGAGAUGCUGUGGGAAGCAGGGGCUGAUCCAGCACCUCCACGGCACCGACGCGAGGCCGGGCCACGAGCUGGCUCCUCGGGGCCAUCCUCAGAGGGAGCCGUGGCCGGGCCCGACCUUGCAUGGCCUCAGCGAAUGCUAAUUACAGAAAUCGCCCUGCAGGGGAGCAGCUUUAGAUUCUGAGAUGAAAAACCGUAAAUUACUUGCUUUUGAUCUUCUGAAGGAGAAAGCACCCGGCUGCCCCCAGAGCCGGGUGCCGGUCACCGUGGCCCCGCUGCUCUCGGUGGGGGCACAGCGGGGGCCGUGCGGGGUGUUUGGGGUCUCCGGCCAGCUCUCCGUGAGCUCCAGGGGUGUUUGUAGGAUUUGGCGUGAACCUGCCUCCCGUCCCCGCCUCCCCUGUCUUUCGUGUGUGCUCAUUAAGGCCUCUUGAUAUGAAAAUUCCCCAACUCGCGCGACUCCUCUGAUUGAAACUUCGGUGCCACCCGAGCGCGAGAUCCAUUUUGGGUAAUUACGCCGCGAUUCAGAAUUUCAGCGUAGGAUAAAAAAAAUGCCCUCCGCAGCCCUUAGCCAUCUCCCUGAAGGACUGGCAGGGUAAAACCGCGCUCUUGGGGCGCCGAUGGCUUUGCUCUGUCCCUCGCUCCUGGCACCCCAGGGUACAGAUGUGGCUGUAGGUACAGAUUUGGGGCUGGGCACGGGGGGUCCCACACCCGCUGGAAAUGCUGCUGCUGGCUGAAUCAGGGGGUGACGCGUUGGGUCAGGAGGCUCCGUCCCUUCUGGGCUCCUUACGUGCUGCCAGCCACAUCCCAUGGACCCCCCCGGGGCUUCUCUCAAACAUUUUGGAGGCUCCCAGUGUUUCACCCCCACGCAUCGACCCCUUCGGCCUUUGGUCCUAGCCAGGCUCGAUGCGCACCGAGUUUUUUUGAUGGGGCUCCCCUCCAAAAAAGCCACAGCUGCCUCCCCGCUGGAGCCACGCAGCAUCAGAGGGCACAAGGGUCCCCGUGGGGUGCCCAGGGCCGUGUUCCCAACACCCUGUAAGCAGGCAGAGCUGCAACCAGCCC
rnacentral:lncRNA from 1 species